AUGAACGCUAGCGGGAGGCCUAACACAUGCAAGCCGAGCGGUAGAAAGUAGCUUGCUACUUUUGAGAGCGACGUACGGGUGCGUAACACGUGUGCAACCUGCCUUUAUCUGGAGAAUAGCCUUUCGAAAGGAAGAUUAAUGCUCCAUAACAUAUUGAAUGGCAUCAUUUAAUAUUGAAAGCUCCGGCGGAUAGAGAUGGGCACGCGCAAGAUUAGUUAGUUGGUGAGGUAACGGCUCACCAAGGCGAUGAUCUUUAGGGGGCCUGAGAGGGUGAUCCCCCACACUGGUACUGAGACACGGACCAGACUCCUACGGGAGGCAGCAGUGAGGAAUAUUGGACAAUGGGUGAAAGCCUGAUCCAGCCAUCCCGCGUGAAGGAUGACGGCCCUAUGGGUUGUAAACUUCUUUUGUAUAGGGAUAAACCUACCCUCGUGAGGGUAGCUGAAGGUACUAUACGAAUAAGCACCGGCUAACUCCGUGCCAGCAGCCGCAGUAA
rnacentral:rRNA from 1 species